rnacentral:rRNA from 1 species
GAGGGCAGCAGUGGGGAAUAUUGCACAAUGGGGGGAAACCCUGAUGCAGCCAUGCCGCGUGUGUGAAGAAGGCCUUCGGGUUGUAAAGCACUUUCAGUUGUGAGGAAAAGUGAGUAGUUAAUACCUGCUCACCGUGACGUUAACAACAGAAGAAGCACCGGCUAACUCCGUGCCAGCAGCCGCGGUAAUACGGAGGGUGCGAGCGUUAAUCGGAAUUACUGGGCGUAAAGCGCACGCAGGCGGUUUGUUAAGCUAGAUGUGAAAGCCCCGAGCUCAACUUGGGAUGGUCAUUUAGAACUGGCAGACUAGAGUCUUGGAGAGGGGAGUGGAAUUCCAGGUGUAGCGGUGAAAUGCGUAGAUAUCUGGAGGAACAUCAGUGGCGAAGGCGACUCCCUGGCCAAAGACUGACGCUCAUGUGCGAAAGUGUGGGUAGCGAACAGGAUUAGAUACCCUGGUAGUCCACACCGUAAACGCUGGGG